rnacentral:rRNA from 1 species
UGGCUCAGAACGAACGCUGGCGGCAGGCUUAACACAUGCAAGUCGAGCGCCUCGCAAGAGGAGCGGCAGACGGGUGAGUAACGCGUGGGAAUCUACCCAUCUCUACGGAACAACUCCGGGAAACUGGAGCUAAUACCGUAUACGUCCUUCGGGAGAAAGAUUUAUCGGAGAUGGAUGAGCCCGCGUUGGAUUAGCUAGUUGGUGGGGUAAUGGCCUACCAAGGCGACGAUCCAUAGCUGGUCUGAGAGGAUGAUCAGCCACAUUGGGACUGAGACACGGCCCAAACUCCUACGGGAGGCAGCAGUGGGGAAUAUUGGACAAUGGGCGAAAGCCU